rnacentral:tRNA from 1 species
GGAUGGUUGGCCGAGUGGUUAUGGCGACAGUUUUAAGUAUGAAUAUACAAUCACUGUUAUCGAGAGAUGCAAGGGUUCGAACCCCUUACCAUCCA